GAAUCUGUGUCAGUCGCGUGACAAUUAUUUCACAUUUGUGAAGAUAUGCCAUUAAUCCCGCAGAAAGAGAUGACCAAUUCAACUGCCUGAGGAAGAGGUAGUGAAGGCAGUUAACUGAGGCCGGGCAUCAGAGGGACACCAGAUGAUUACGGUAGCCCAGCCUAAGAUGGCGCCCCCGGAGAGAGACUUACGUUUAGGUGAGCCGGUGGUGGGUGCAGAGAGCCAGCGCUGGAGAAAACGGACGAGGGCGAAGCGUCAGCAGUGGGAACCG